UGAUUUUUCAAAAAACGCCAGAUAAAUUUGACUAAGCAUCCAUAAAAAAAUGUAUUAUCCAAUUCAAUCUGAGUAUCAAAAAGUACUUCAUUAUACAAAUAUACAGGAAUACAGAAUAGUUUAGGUUUUACGUAAGACUCAUUGAUUAUUAUUAUUUCUUACGUUUUUUUUUUUAGAUUCUGAGCGGAGCGAUGAAUGUAUUGAUUUUACAAUGAUAUUAUAAGGACUACGCUAACCGCUCAGAAUCGUUUUUCGUGUACAAUGGUUUAUCAUUGUAUUAAAAAAAAACACAUCCAUUACAACUACUGUACAGCAGAGCGGUACAAACUUGUCCACAUUUGCAGUGAAACUUAUUUCUUUAGGUGUGGGUGGAAAAAAAUUUGUAACAAAAAAAAUGAAACGACACAUUUCUUUAUUUAUUUAUUUUGCAAGUUAUGCAAGGCGGCAGCGGCAUGCAUGUUUAUUUUUACCGUAUUGAUUCUUUCCACUCUCCCUAAUUCACCUAUAAUUUCAUGGGCCCCAAUACUUAUGACAGAAGUUAUACUUCCCCAGAGUAUAAUGGUGGGCUCACACACUAGUUUUUUUUAUUUGUGUGUGUACACGAUAAGUAGUCGAAAUAAUGAUUCAAUUUUCAACUUUAGUAUCUUGUUUGAUGGGAAAGAGAAUAGUUGGUGUAUUGGAGAGGUCAAAAUUUGAAAUAAGUAAUCAUUUUUAAAAGCGCCGGGAAAAACAAAAAAAAAAAAUCAAGGAAAAACGGGAAUUUUCACGCAAAAUCGGUUUUUGACAAAAUCUGAUACGGACUUACACUAUAUACGGACAUUUACAGUUUCCAUUUUUUUUUUAGUUUUUUUUCCUAUAAAUGUCAAUAAAAUUAUAUUUGUUGGGUAAAAAAGCUUGAACAUUAAUACAAGGCUCUUAAUGUAUUGUUACUAUGAAAUUUGAAAAAUAUUAAAAAUCCAUAGUUACAAUUUUUUUUAUAAGCAUUCAAAGUUCAAAUGUUGACAAAACACGUAAAAAUCACGAAAAUGUGCAAAUAAUUUUGAGUUAGAAAUUCAUAAAAAUUUUUCUUUUUAAAUCUAAGAUUUAAAAAUGUAAUACAAGAUUUCUUAUAUGUUUGUCUAGCUUUAUCAACAAAAAAAUUUCUACCGGAAGGUCAAAUGAAAUUUUUUUGAGUGUUUAAAGAUAAUAUUUUUGCAACAUUGGAUAUUUACUCGAUUUAUCAUGUAGCGAUUUUGUUAUUUUGUUGUAAUUCAAAAACAAAUAACUGUAUAUACAUUAAAAUUUGACUGAAUGUUUUUUCUAUACAUAUGUGUAUAUGUGUCAAAGAUUUGUCACUAAAAACCCGGGUGGUCUCCGGGAACUAGUGAAACCGCCCGGUGCUUGCACUAAGAACAUGUUUUUUGACUGAAUGCAACCACCAAGCCACUAUUCUUACGUUUUUGAAAAAUAAUAAAUGAUUAUAUUAUAAUUAAGUACCUGGUACUUAACUUAAAAAUAAUUAUUUUGCAUUAUUAUAUUUUUUUAAUAUGGAAUAUGAAUAACUUAUAAGGAACCAUGCAUUACAUUUUCAAGCUUUAUCAUCUAAAAAGUAUAUGAUAAAUAAAUAAAAAAAAGUCAAACGGUUUUGUGAAUUAGUUUAUGUCUAUUCUCUAAAUGUUGAUUUGAAUAUUUGAAUGAACAUUUGAAGUCGCUAGUAGAUAUUAAUUUUUGAGGUUCUAUAAAAUAACAAAAUUGAUUUUUUCCAAACUGGUUUUGCAUAAAAAAUUCCUCGCUUUUAUUAAUUUUAGAUUCUCGUGAUGGCUAAUGCUCUUAAUAAUGUUGUAAUUGGUCAGUUUUUAUGUAAAAAGGCAAUAGUAAAUUGUUGUUGGUUUUCAGUAGACGAGAAAAAUAUUAAAACUAUUAUUAAUAAAAAAAAUUUAAAGAAAAACAAGAUUUUUUACGCAAAAUCGAUUUUGGUUUGUGGUGUAACUACAAAAAUAACAAUAUAUAUUAUAUACAUCUUAUAUUUUUCUCCAAAUGUUAGUAUUUUCUUUAUAACAUACAAUUUUCAAAAUUUUUAACUUGAUUUGAGCUAUUUAUAUGUAUAAAAAUAUUAAUUUUUUAAAAAUUAUAGUCGAUAAAAAUAUUUUUGCUCGGUUAAAAAACUCGAAAGUUUAAUAAAAGGUUCCAUAUUUUUUAUUCUUUGUGGAAAUUACAGAAAAAAGUCGAGUGUAAAAUCACAAUAAUUUUUUAUGAACGUCUGAAGUUAGUAUUAUGACAAAAAUAAUCAGUCACGAUUCACGAGAAUUCGCAAAUAAAUUUGUGAUUAAAAUUUAUAAUAAAUUCAAUUUUCAUACCUAAAUAUUGAACAUUUAAAACAACGUUUCUCAUAAUUAUUUGAUACUGUAACCAAAAUAUCUAAAAAUUACAUAAACUACGUGACUACGCUAACCGAUCAGAAUUGAUUUUCGUAUACAAUGGUUUAUCAUUGUAUUCAAAUUUAACACAUCCAUUACAACUACUGUACAGCAGAUCGGUACCAACAUGUCCACAUUUUGAAGUCAAACUUAUUAUUAUUAUUUUUUAUUUGAAACGACACGAAAAAAUUGACACGUUUGUUUAUUUAUUUAUUUUGCAAGUCAUGCGCGGCGGCGGCGGCGUGCACGUUUAUUUAUAUUGUAUUGAUUUUUCCCACUCUUUCCCUAAUUCACUUAUAAUUUCACGGGCCCUAAUACGUAUGAAAAAAGUUUUACUUCCCCAGAGUGUAAUGGUGGACUCACACGCUCUCGUCAUUUUUUUUAAAUUGUACACAAUAAGUAGUUGAAAUAAUGUUUCGAUUUUGAACUUCAGUAUCUUGUUCUAUGUUUUAGAUGACCGUAAAAUUGAACUAGAAUUUGGGAUUGUUAGAAGCUGAAUAACAAAACAAAUAUCUGUUCUACACACAUCAAACCCAACAUUUAUGAAGAUUCAAGAAAAAUAAUCAACUUAAUUUUAAACAAAACAAGUAUGUUUAAUAUGAAUGAAAACCACUUUAUUACUUCUACUGGUAUGAUGUUUGAAAAUAAAAAACAGUUAACUCAAAUUGAUUCUGAUGCAGAUAAGAUAUCUGAGUCAGCAAACUGUGUCACAACUCAAUUACAAGUUAUACAAAUGGUGGUACUAAUAAAUAUGGUGGUAUGGAAAAUUCACAAAUUAUUAGUAUAUCAGAUGUGAUGAACAAUAUUCAUCACUUAGGCCAUGUUCUUAUGAAUGUUUCUAGAAAUAAUAUGUCAAAUAUACAGAAAGGGAUGGAUAUUAUUAAAGUCGAUGUCAAUAAAAAUCAAGAAACACAAAUGGAAAUAGUAAAUAAAAUUAGAAUUCAACAAUCAAACCACAAGUUCAAAUGCAUAUGAUUUUUCACUACUCAAAGUGCCCGUGGAAAAUUUGGUGGAGUUGAAUAAACUCAAGGAGGAUGCAGGACAAAUAAAAAUAUUAGGGUAUAUGUUACGUAGACACGGAAAAUCAUUUGAUGCUAAACAUGAUACGUACCUUAUGAUGAAGUUGACUGUAGAUAAUAGAAUAGCAGAAAUAAUCAAUAUGGAGGGAAGAAGAGGAGAUAAAUUGGCUUUUGGUCGUCUAGAAAUUUCUAAAAUUUUAAUUGAAGCCGUUAAAGGAAUGUUUCCUGAUGAGUCCAUAUUAGCAAUCAAAAGUUAUAUCAGUGAUUGGCUAGAAACAAGCCCCUAAAUUAAAUUAGAUUUAUAUAUAGUUUUACAAUUAAAUUAUUUAAUAUAAUACAUUUGAUAUUGUAACAGUAUAAAAGUCUAUCUUAUUUAAUCUUUAGCUAGUAGAUUAGAUAAUGCACUAUAAAUUUAAGAAACAUUGCUUAUAAAUAUUAAAUAUGAAAUAUUUAUUGAUUCUUGAAAUAAACAAAACACUAUUGUUAGAAAUCUAUACCUAGGUAGAUUAUGCACAACUACAUUAAUCAAUUAACAUUAAUUAUACGAAAAGUCCAAAUAUGUAUGAAGACUAUUCUGUUGACAGGUUUUUAGAUGAACUAAUAUUAAUUUAAUGUACUAUAAUACUACUAUGUUAGUAACUUAAUAUAUAAAAUAUCAAUCCUGCUCUAAAUAUAUACGAAGCUUACACAAAAAAUAUUCAUUCAACAUGCUACAUUUAUACAGAUGAUAAUUAUCCUUGUGGAGUGGUGUUUGCGUUCAGUUAAGAAACCCGUUCUGAGUGUACGCACUGGCCGGUGUCAUUAGCUCCCGGAUAGGUGACCACCCAUGAUUUUUUGUGACAAAUCCUUGCCACACAUACACACGUGUUAAAAAAACCUAUAGUACCCCAGGUUAAUGACCUCAGUUGUUAAAGCCUUAACCACAAUACAAAAAAAAAAUUAUCAUAUUAUACUCAAAAUAUAUUAUAUAUACUACAUUUAUUUGAUAAAUAUCCAUUCUAUUCUUCAAAAAUAUACGAACUUGAAACAAAAAAUAUCCACUGCAUACUCUAAACAUAUACUAAUAUAUAAACAUAUUUUGUUAUUUUUAUUGCAUAUUUUUAUCGUAUAUUUGGAUUUUUUUGGUGUUCAUUUAAUAAACUAUUAAUGUAUAAAUGACCGUUUUUUUUUUUUGUAUAUUUUAUUGUUUUUAUUGCAUAUUUAACGAUAUUUAUGGUAAUAUUAUAGCGCAUAUUAAUUAAAAAAUUUUAACUAUUGCUUAUUACUAAUUAGUUAUGGAUUUUGUGAGUUAUAUAGAUGGCUAUAAUUUUAAUCUAGAUGAAAAUUAGAUGUCAUUUUUAUUUUUUAUUUAAGUAAGUUAUUAGAUAAGAAGAUUUUAGUAUAAAAAUAACCUAUCUAGAUAAAUUUAGCUAAAGCACAAACACUGCGGAUAAGAAAAUUCUUGGAUAAUCCACUAAAUUCAAAUUAAAACGAAAAUUCAAUAAUUAAAUUAUUAAAAAAUUAUAAUUAUGUAAAUCUUGUAAUGUUAUGUAAUAUGUAGUAUGAAAUUUAAGGAAAAUUGAUCAUUCUGCGGAAGACCACGGAUAAUCAAGAGUACACUUUAUAAUAUAUAACCAUAGACAAGUUAAGACAAUCAAGUGUAUCAGGAGCGUACCCAAUAAAAGGGGUGUCGGGUUUGGACCCCCCCCCCAAUUAUUGACAUAUAAUUUAAAAUUCUUAAGGUGUAAACCAUUGAUUGUAUACUUUUUACAUGUUAAAAAAAUUUGGACCCCCCCCCCCCUUGAAAUUUUUUUGGGUAUGCCCCUGAAGUGUAUACAACCAAUACCAUCACAGAGUGCAGCACAAAGUCAGUGUUGUCUCUGAAUCCUCGUUGGUACAAUAAAAAGUUUGAAUAUUAUAUUAUAACUUGAUAUUAAUAAAAUGACUACACUGUUAAAUAGUAUGUUUUAAAAACACCCAGAGCGCUAAUCAUCAUUUUUUAUUGGUGCUGUUGGCAAUACUUCGCUUACUGCUUAAUGCUUAUUAAGCAGGGCUUAUUCACUUCAGUUGGAAACUAACUUUUGUUGAGCACUGGUGUCUAGUUCAAUCAAAGAAAAGUAAGCGAGUGUAAUCGUAGUAUAGGUAUUCUUUAAUUGUGUGGAUUACUUACCCGAAUUAUUAUAAUUAUUAAUAGUAUAAAAGAUCGAUGAAUGUAAGAAAAAUUACUAGAAAAAGUUUUUUUUUUAAUUAAUCGUUUCAAUAUAAAGCUACCAAACGUGUUAUUUUUAUACUUUUGAUAUAAUUAAUCGUAAUUAAUAUAUUUGGUACUUAAACAGUUAAUUAAACUUUAAUUUGUGAAUUCGACAUGGGCAACUUGAGGAUAAUUAAUUCUAUUGGUAAAAAAAAAAAUGGCUGUAGAAGUACUUAUAAGAAAGGAUAUUGUACAAUACUAGAAGUGGAAAAGACAAAAAGUGGUAAACUUAAAAUAUUUAAUGGUGAACUCGGUAAUGGCAAUGCAGGAUGUUCAAUACUAGGAGUGGAAAAGACAAUAAGUGGUAAGCUCAAAUAUCUAGUUCAAUGGAAAUUCAAGAACAUGCCAGAACAAAACUACUUAAUUGAUUCAUACAUUAUAAGUAAAGUAUAUCCUGAUAAGGUCAUAGAGUUCUAUGAGAAAAUAACUACAUGGAAUUAAUAAAAUCGACGAGAUUUGGAACAGGACUAAAUAAUUAUUUCUAAAAUUGAAUCAUGUUUUAUGAUUUUUUAUGAGUACCUAUUUUACCAAUUGACAACUUUAUGUAUUAUUAUUUUUAGUUUUGUAUUCUUGUAAGAUGUUAUAAACAUUUAAAUUAAACUCAAGUUAUGUAUUCAUUUUUUUAAAGUUUUUUUUUUGUUCAAUUUGAUUAUUUAAUAUCGUAGAUGUUUAAACAUAUUAGGUAUUUUAUAUUUAAUUUGUCAAUGAUCAUUCAUUUUUUCCCUUAGUCACUAAGUUGAUGAUAAAUAUAUUGCAGUAAAAAGAUAAAUUCAGAAUUAGCUCUGAUUUAACAAAACUAGCUGUUCUAUUAUUAUAGUAAAUUUAAAUGUGUAUAAUUUUUUCGUCUUAAUAAAAUUGA